rnacentral:rRNA from 1 species
UACGUAGGGGGGCAAGCGUUGUCCGGAAUCAUUGGGCGUAAAGAGCGCGUAGGCGGCCCUGUAAGUCCGCUGUGAAAGUCAAGGGCUCAACCCUUGGAUGCCGGUGGAUACUGCAGGGCUAGAGUCCGGAAGAGGCGAGUGGAAUUCCUGGUGUAGCGGUGAAAUGCGCAGAUAUCAGGAGGAACACCGAUGGCGAAGGCAGCUCGCUGGGACGGUACUGACGCUGAGGAGCGAAAGUGUGGGGAGCGAACAGG